rnacentral:tRNA from 1 species
GGUUUUAUAUUCAAAUUAAUGAUUUUAAAUUGCAAAUUUAAAGGUGGAUUUUUCCUAAAACUU